rnacentral:rRNA from 1 species
UUAAGCGACUAAGCGUACACGGUGGAUGCCCUGGCAGUCAGAGGCGAUGAAGGACGUGCUAAUCUGCGAUAAGCGUCGGUAAGGUGAUAUGAACCGUUAUAACCGGCGAUUUCCGAAUGGGGAAACCCAGUGUGUUUCGACACACUAUCAUUAACUGAAUCCAUAGGUUAAUGAGGCGAACCGGGGGAACUGAAACAUCUAAGUACCCCGAGGAAAAGAAAUCAACCGAGAUUCCCCCAGUAGCGGCGAGCGAACGGGGAGCAGCCCAGAGCCUGAAUCAGUAUGUGUGUUAGUGGAAGCGUCUGGAAAGGCGCGCGAUACAGGGUGACAGCCCCGUACACAAAAAUGCACAUAUUGUGAGCUCGAUGAGUAGGGCGGGACACGUGGUAUCCUGUCUGAAUAUGGGGGGACCAUCCUCCAAGGCUAAAUACUCCUGACUGACCGAUAGUGAACCAGUACCGUGAGGGAAAGGCGAAAAGAACCCCGGCGAGGGGAGUGAAAAAGAACCUGAAACCGUGUACGUACAAGCAGUGGGAGCACGCUUAGGCGUGUGACUGCGUACCUUUUGUAUAAUGGGUCAGCGACUUAUAUUCUGUAGCAAGGUUAACCGAAUAGGGGAGCCGAAGGGAAACCGAGUCUUAACUGGGCGUUAAGUUGCAGGGUAUAGACCCGAAACCCGGUGAUCUAGCCAUGGGCAGGUUGAAGGUUGGGUAACACUAACUGGAGGACCGAACCGACUAAUGUUGAAAAAUUAGCGGAUGACUUGUGGCUGGGGGUGAAAGGCCAAUCAAACCGGGAGAUAGCUGGUUCUCCCCGAAAGCUAUUUAGGUAGCGCCUCGUGAAUUCAUCUCCGGGGGUAGAGCACUGUUUCGGCAAGGGGGUCAUCCCGACUUACCAACCCGAUGCAAACUGCGAAUACCGGAGAAUGUUAUCACGGGAGACACACGGCGGGUGCUAACGUCCGUCGUGAAGAGGGAAACAACCCAGACCGCCAGCUAAGGUCCCAAAGUCAUGGUUAAGUGGGAAACGAUGUGGGAAGGCCCAGACAGCCAGGAUGUUGGCUUAGAAGCAGCCAUCAUUUAAAGAAAGCGUAAUAGCUCACUGGUCGAGUCGGCCUGCGCGGAAGAUGUAACGGGGCUAAACCAUGCACCGAAGCUGCGGCAGCGACGCUUAUGCGUUGUUGGGUAGGGGAGCGUUCUGUAAGCCUGUGAAGGUGUGCUGUGAGGCAUGCUGGAGGUAUCAGAAGUGCGAAUGCUGACAUAAGUAACGAUAAAGCGGGUGAAAAGCCCGCUCGCCGGAAGACCAAGGGUUCCUGUCCAACGUUAAUCGGGGCAGGGUGAGUCGACCCCUAAGGCGAGGCCGAAAGGCGUAGUCGAUGGGAAACAGGUUAAUAUUCCUGUACUUGGUGUUACUGCGAAGGGGGGACGGAGAAGGCUAUGUUGGCCGGGCGACGGUUGUCCCGGUUUAAGCGUGUAGGCUGGUUUUCCAGGCAAAUCCGGAAAAUCAAGGCUGAGGCGUGAUGACGAGGCACUACGGUGCUGAAGCAACAAAUGCCCUGCUUCCAGGAAAAGCCUCUAAGCAUCAGGUAACAUCAAAUCGUACCCCAAACCGACACAGGUGGUCAGGUAGAGAAUACCAAGGCGCUUGAGAGAACUCGGGUGAAGGAACUAGGCAAAAUGGUGCCGUAACUUCGGGAGAAGGCACGCUGAUAUGUAGGUGAAGUCCCUCGCGGAUGGAGCUGAAAUCAGUCGAAGAUACCAGCUGGCUGCAACUGUUUAUUAAAAACACAGCACUGUGCAAACACGAAAGUGGACGUAUACGGUGUGACGCCUGCCCGGUGCCGGAAGGUUAAUUGAUGGGGUUAGCCGCAAGGCGAAGCUCUUGAUCGAAGCCCCGGUAAACGGCGGCCGUAACUAUAACGGUCCUAAGGUAGCGAAAUUCCUUGUCGGGUAAGUUCCGACCUGCACGAAUGGCGUAAUGAUGGCCAGGCUGUCUCCACCCGAGACUCAGUGAAAUUGAACUCGCUGUGAAGAUGCAGUGUACCCGCGGCAAGACGGAAAGACCCCGUGAACCUUUACUAUAGCUUGACACUGAACAUUGAGCCUUGAUGUGUAGGAUAGGUGGGAGGCUUAGAAGUGUGGACGCCAGUCUGCAUGGAGCCGACCUUGAAAUACCACCCUUUAAUGUUUGAUGUUCUAACGUUGACCCGUAAUCCGGGUUGCGGACAGUGUCUGGUGGGUAGUUUGACUGGGGCGGUCUCCUCCUAAAGAGUAACGGAGGAGCACGAAGGUUGGCUAAUCCUGGUCGGACAUCAGGAGGUUAGUGCAAUGGCAUAAGCCAGCUUGACUGCGAGCGUGACGGCGCGAGCAGGUGCGAAAGCAGGUCAUAGUGAUCCGGUGGUUCUGAAUGGAAGGGCCAUCGCUCAACGGAUAAAAGGUACUCCGGGGAUAACAGGCUGAUACCGCCCAAGAGUUCAUAUCGACGGCGGUGUUUGGCACCUCGAUGUCGGCUCAUCACAUCCUGGGGCUGAAGUAGGUCCCAAGGGUAUGGCUGUUCGCCAUUUAAAGUGGUACGCGAGCUGGGUUUAGAACGUCGUGAGACAGUUCGGUCCCUAUCUGCCGUGGGCGCUGGAGAACUGAGGGGGGCUGCUCCUAGUACGAGAGGACCGGAGUGGACGCAUCACUGGUGUUCGGGUUGUCAUGCCAAUGGCACUGCCCGGUAGCUAAAUGCGGAAGAGAUAAGUGCUGAAAGCAUCUAAGCACGAAACUUGCCCCGAGAUGAGUUCUCCCUGACCCUUUAAGGGUCCUGAAGGAACGUUGAAGACGACGACGUUGAUAGGCCGGGUGUGUAAGCGCAGCGAUGCGUUGAGCUAACCGGUACUAAUGAACCGUGAGGCUUAACCUU